rnacentral:lncRNA from 1 species
CCCAAUAAAGGAGACUCCUCAGCUGGCGGGGAGUGGUUGGGAAGGCAGACACGGUCCCCAGACCCCUGACCCCACCCUCCACGGCCCUCUCUGUCGCAGGCAGCUGCGUUUCUUGUGGGCUGAGCCAGGGCUGGGAGGGUGAACAGUUCCUUCUCAGAUGGGCAAAGAGGACUUGUCCUGAUGGCUCUCUCAAUCUCUGCAAGGUCUCUGUUCACAUGUAUGUCCUGCUGAGUCGUAGUUCGGAGGAAGAGAAAAAUAGUCCAUUACAGGUGGGGAUCUGGAGUUUCUGGUGUGGCGCAGUGGAAACAAAUCCAACUAGAAACCACGAGGUUGCAGGUUCGAUCCCUGGCCUAACUCAGUGGGUUAAGGAUCCAGCAUUGCUGUGAGCUGUGGUAUAGGUCACAGACAUGACUUGGAUCUGGCAUUGCUGUGGCUCUGGCGUAGGCUGGCAGCUGUAGCUCUGAUUCGACCCCUAGCCUCAGGUGCGGCCCUAAAAAACCAAAAAAAAAAAAAAAAAAAAAAAAAAAGAGAGAGAGAGACAGAGAA